rfam:Gossypium arboreum cultivar AKA8401 contig_29421_7, whole genome shotgun sequence.
AUUCUGUGAUGAGGGCACUUAUGUAAUAAUUCUUUUUAUCUUUCUUAUGCCUCAUACAAGGAUUCAUCAUCCAUUUGUUAGAAAGCAGUGAUCUCGUUCCUUAACUU